UAUUUUGAUACUUGAUGGUUUUGCACCAUUUUGUUAAAGAAAAAUAUCCAAAUUCACCCGUUUUAGCCAUUUAAAUACUGAAUACACCUGGGUUGUAAACAAAACAAGACAUUUGAAGGUAUAACUUUGGGCACUGCAAAAUGCUGAUCAACACCUUUCACCAUUUUAUUGACCUAACAAUCGAUUAACCAAAAAAAAAAUAGAUUAAUCAAUUAUGAAAAUAAAUAUUUGCACCCACAUACAUACGUGUGUCCAAUCCUGAAUAUGCAGUUGAAGAUACGUGUAUGUGUUGGGAUGAUAAAAUAAUGAGUUUAUGAUCUAAUGAGGGGGGGGGGGGGGGGGGGGGGAUUUCAAUAAAUCAAAAUUUAGACAUCCUGCUAGAAAUGAACAUUAAUUGAGCAGAAAUUCUUGCUUUUUAGUAUUUACUAUAAAUAAACUACACAUAUGUGAAGUCUCUUUCUCUCACACAGAUCAAUCAAGCAUUGCCAAAUAGCUUAACAGCAGUUUAUUAAAAGCGUUAUUAUAAGCAGCACAGGUGCUGCAUGAUUAAUA